CCUUCCUCCAAGGGCUACAUGCACAGCGCCCCCUGACUGCAGAUUGCCACUUGCCCCUCCCCACGUUGUUGGCCCACUCAAAGACACAGAAGAACUAUAACACAAAAGCCGUGUUCCUCUGGUGUUCACCACAACUGAGUCAGCCUGCGAUUAAAGAACAGCACAUUUCUAUGGUUGUCACAGAGGCUGGAUUCUUCUGCUGGCACGAAGUAUUCUAAAAGAGAAUGGAAAAUUACCCAUUUACUUCAAAGAGCCAUGCUGAUUUCCUCGAAAUAUGUGGCACUUGCGUGUUGCCAGGGGCAACUGAUUAAUUCACAGAGAUCCUGCCUGUGACUGACAGCUUAAGAAAGGAAGAAAAUUCCCUGGAAACUGAAAGAUGCUAGAGGACACAAUCUGGCUCUGAUGUCACUACUGAGAGACACUUCUUUUUUCCUGAGUACAGUAACUAAUAAAUUCCUCCAAAUAAUGUC